rnacentral:rRNA from 1 species
ACACGCAUGACACACUGCAUAUCAAUAAGCGGAGGAAAAGAAACUAACAAGGAUUCCCUUAGUAACGGCGAGUGAAGCGGGAAGAGCUCAAAUUUGAAAUCUUCAAGGUUCUACCUUGACGAAUUGUAGUUUAUAGAUGUGUUUUCUGUUAGUAGAGUGGCAAAAGUUCUUUGGAAUAGGACAUCAUAGAGGGUGAGAAUCCCGUAUUUGGUCAUUCUUUCUAGCUUUGUGAUACACUUUCAACGAGUCGGAUUGUUUGGGAAUGCAGUCCAAAAUGGGUGGUAAAUUUCAUCUAAAGCUAAAUAUUGGCGAGAGACCGAUAGCGAACAAGUACCGUGAGGGAAAGAUGAAAAGGACUUUGAAAAGAGAGUUAAACAGUACGUGAAAUUGUCAAAAGGGAAGCGUUUGACACCAGUGUUGUUUUUCCGAAAAUCAAUUACGAAUGUUUUAUUUUUGAGAAGUUAUGACUUCAUCGGCUUGCUCCUCUCUUUAUGAAACUUUCUUAAUGCACUUUACGGUUAACAAGUCAACAUCAAUUUCUUUUGUUGUAAAAGGGUAUGAGGAAGGUGGCUUUCUUUUCGGAGAAAGUGUUUAUAGCCUUGUACCUCUGCAAUCGGAGAGAUUGAGGUCUGCAGCGUAGAUCCUUCGGGGUUAGAUACAUUUGUGCUAAGUUAUAGCUUUUCAUAGACAACUUGUUGACUAUGUUUAGUCUUGUAGCUUACUCGCUUACUGCUAUUUUACCUACGCUUAGGAUGUUGACUGAUAUGUAGUCGUA